CCUACGGGGGGCAGCAGUGGGGAAUAUUGGACAAUGGGGGGAACCCUGAUCCAGCCAUGCCGCGUGUGUGAAGAAGGCCCUCGGGUUGUAAAGCACUUUCAGUGAGGAAGAACGCCUGGUGGUUAAUACCCAUCAGGAAAGACAUCACUCACAGAAGAAGCACCGGCUAACUCCGUGCCAGCAGCCGCGGUAAUACGGAGGGUGCGAGCGUUAAUCGGAAUUACUGGGCGUAAAGCGCGCGUAGGUGGCUUGAUAAGCCGGUUGUGAAAGCCCCGGGCUCAACCUGGGAGCGGCAUCCGGAACUGUCAAGCUAGAGUGCAGGAGAGGAAGGUAGAAUUCCCGGUGUAGCGGUGAAAUGCGUAGAGAUCGGGAGGAAUACCAGUGGCGAAGGCGGCCUUCUGGACUGACACUGACACUGAGGUGCGAAAGCGUGGGUAGCAAACAGGAUUAGAUACCCGUGUAGUC
rnacentral:rRNA from 1 species